rnacentral:rRNA from 1 species
AGUGAACGCUGGCGGUAGGCCUAACACAUGCAAGUCGAACGGCAGCACAGUAAGAGCUUGCUCUUACGGGUGGCGAGUGGCGGACGGGUGAGGAAUACAUCGGAAUCUACUUUUUCGUGGGGGAUAACGUAGGGAAACUUACGCUAAUACCGCAUACGACAUACGGGUGAAAGCAGGGGAUCUUCGGACCUUGCGCGAUUGAAUGAGCCGAUGUCGGAUUAGCUAGUUGGCGGGGUAAAGGCCCACCAAGGCGACGAUCCGUAGCUGGUCUGAGAGGAUGAUCAGCCACACUGGAACUGAGACACGGUCCAGACUCCUACGGGAGGCAGCAGUGGGGAAUAUUGGACAAUGGGCGCAAGCCUGAUCCAGCCAUACCGCGUGGGUGAAGAAGGCCUUCGGGUUGUAAAGCCCUUUUGUUGGGAAAGAAAAGCAGCAGGUUAAUACCCCGCUGUUCUGACGGUACCCAAAGAAUAAGCACCGGCUAACUUCGUG